rnacentral:rRNA from 1 species
GAUGAACGCUAGCUACAGGCUUAACACAUGCAAGUCGCGGGGCAGCAUGACAUCAGCUUGCUGAUGUUGAUGGCGACCGGCGCACGGGUGAGUAACGCGUAUCCAACCUGCCCUUUACUAUGGGACAGCCCGUCGAAAGGCGGAUUAAUACCGUAUGUUGUCAUGUUGAUGCAUAUUUUCAUGACCAAGGGCUUCGGCCGGUAAAGGAUGGGGAUGCGUCUGAUUAGCUUGCCGGCGGGGUAACGGCCCACCGGGGCGACGAUCAGUAGGGGUUCUGAGAGGAAGGUCCCCCACAUUGGAACUGAGACACGGUCCAA